AUUGAACGCUGGCGGCAGGCCUAACACAUGCAAGUCGAGCGGCUGCAGGGAGCUUGCUCCUGGAUUCAGCGGCGGACGGGUGAGUAAUGCCUAGGAAUCUGCCUGGUAGUGGGGGAUAACGUCCGGAAACGGGCGCUAAUACCGCAUACGUCCUGAGGGAGAAAGUGGGGGAUCUUCGGACCUCACGCCAUCAGAUGAGCCUAGGUCGGAUUAGCUAGUUGGUGGGGUAAAGGCCUACCAAGGCGACGAUCCGUAACUGGUCUGAGAGGAUGAUCAGUCACACUGGAACUGAGACACGGUCCAGACUCCUACGGGAGGCAGCAGUGGGGAAUAUUGGACAAUGGGCGAAAGCCUGAUCCAGCCAUGCCGCGUGUGUGAAGAAGGUCUUCGGAUUGUAAAGCACUUUAAGUUGGGAGGAAGGGCAGUAAGUUAAUACCUUGCUGUUUUGACGUUACCAACAGAAUAAGCACCGGCUAACUUCGUG
rnacentral:rRNA from 1 species